GACGAACGCUGGCGGCGUGCUUAACACAUGCAAGUCGAACGGAAAGGCCCUGCUUUUGUUGGGUUCUCGAGUGGCGAACGGGUGAGUAACACGCGAGUAACCUGCCCUUGACUUUGGGAUAACUUCAGGAAACUGGGGCUAAUACCGGAUAUGAUCUCCUGCUGCAUGGUGGGGGUUGGAAAGUUUCGGCGGUUGGGGAUGGACUCGCGGCUUAUCAGCUUGUUGGUGGGGUAGUGGCUUACCAAGGCUUUGACGGGUAGCCGGCCUGAGAGGGUGACCGGACACAUUGGGACUGAGAUACGGCCCAGAAUCCUACGGGAGGCAGCAGUGGGGAAUAUUGCACAGUGGGCGGAAGUCUGAUGCAGCAACUCUGCGUGCGGGAUGACGGCCUUCGGGUUGUAAACCGCUUUCGACUGUGACGAAGAGUGAGUGACGGUAAUGGGUAAAGAAGCACCGGCUAACUACGUG
rnacentral:rRNA from 1 species